GACGAACGCUGGCGGCGUGCCUAACACAUGCAAGUCGAGCGAAGUUUUUAAAGAAGAUUUCUUCGGAAUGAAACUUUAAUUAUCUUAGCGGCGGACGGGUGAGUAAUGCCUAGGAAAUUGCCUUGAUGUGGGGGAUAACCAUUGGAAACGAUGGCUAAUACCGCAUGAUGCCUACGGGCCAAAGAGGGGGACCUUCGGGCCUCUCGCGUCAAGAUAUGCCUAGGUGGGAUUAGCUAGUUGGUGAGGUAAUGGCUCACCAAGGCGACGAUCCCUAGCUGGUCUGAGAGGUUGAUCAGCCACACUGGAACUGAGACACGGUCCAG
rnacentral:rRNA from 1 species